UCCAGACCUCAUCACAAGGAGAGUGGCUCCCUCCUUGCCAGAAAUGGGGACACAGGGAGGAUGAGGAGGUGGCCUGGAGGGAGAGGCUCAGCCAGACUGCAGCUGCGUGAGAGUGGGUUCUUGGACCCAGCCGGAAACAGUGCAGGUCUUCAAGUGUCCUGCAUGACUCUGAGCUGUCUGUGGUGGUGCUGAUGGCAGAGGCUGGGCUGGCUCGUGCUUCACACCUGACAGUGGCCUGGAGUGCUCCCCAGGGGUGGCCCAAGCUAUGUCCCAGAGCUUCAGCCAUGAAGGAGGCAGGUUGCUGAGGGUCCACACAUUGCCUUCAGAGAUCCUAACCCCAGGAGCGCACCCUGUAGAAGGAGGAGGCGGGCGAGAGACAGGGAAAUACAAAACCUAACAGGUAAACAAGAUUGGGUUUCAGCAAGCCUAAGUGAAAUAGACACACUCCCUCUAGAACAACAUUUCGAUAUGAAAAUUGCAUUAUUGCCGUCAACAUCAGGUUACCUGAGGAACAAGCCACUUGGAAAACAAUUAAUUCCACAAAGAGCAGAAUGACACAUACAUUGCCUCAAAUUUACAAGAAGCACAAUGUUCUGAUUACAGCAUUUGUAUGGAGUCUUGCUCUGUUGUACCUCGGUUGGAGUGCAGUGGUACGAUCUCGGCUCACUGCAACCUCUGCCUCCCGGUUUCAAGCGAUUCUUCCACCUCAGUCUCCCAAGUAGCUGGGAUUACAGGAGCCCGCCACCACGCCAGGCUAAUUUUUUGUAUUUUCAGUAGAGAUGGGGUUUCACCAUGUUGGCCAGGCUGGUCUCAAACUCCCAACCUCAGGUGAUCUGCCCGCCUCGGCCUCCCAAAAUGCUGGGAUUACAGGCAUGAGCCACCAUUCCCGGCCUACUGCUGUUUUCUUUUUGCAAUAAAACAGAAUGUCUGCA
rnacentral:lncRNA from 10 species